UACGUAGGGGGCUAGCGUUGUCCGGAAUCAUUGGGCGUAAAGCGCGUGUAGGCGGUCCGGUAAGUCCGCUGCGAAAGUCGGGGGCUCAACCCUCGAAUGCCGGUGGAUACUGUCGGGCUAGAGUGCGGGAGAGGCGAGUGGAAUUCCUGGUGUAGCGGUGAAAUGCGCAGAUAUCAGGAGGAACACCAAUUGCGAAGGCAGCUCGCUGGAACGUAACUGACGCUGAGACGCGAAAGCGUGGGGAGCAAACAGG
rnacentral:rRNA from 1 species